CACGUAGGGUGCGAGCGUUGUCCGGAAUUAUUGGGCGUAAAGAGCUCGUAGGCGGCCAGUUGCGUCCGCUGUGAAAUCCUGGGGCUUAACCCCGGGCGUGCAGUGGAUACGGGCUGGCUAGAGGCAGGCAGGGGAGAACGGAAUUCCCGGUGUAGCGGUGAAAUGCGCAGAUAUCGGGAGGAACACCGGUGGCGAAGGCGGUUCUCUGGGCCUGUACUGACGCUGAGACGCGAAAGCGUGGGGAGCGAACAGG
rnacentral:rRNA from 1 species